CGCAGGGCCCGCGCCCGCCGUCUCCCCCUCCUGCCGGCGCCGGGCCCGCGCCAUGGCCGCCUCGCCGGGCUCGGGCAGCGCCAACCCGCGGAAGUUCAGUGAGAAGAUCGCGCUGCACACGCAGCGGCAGGCCGAGGAGACGCGGGCCUUCGAGCAGCUCAUGACCGACCUCACCCUGUCGCGGGUUCAAUUUCAGAAGCUUCAGCAACUGCGCCUUACACAGUACCAUGGAGGAUCCUUACCCAAUGUGAGCCAGCUGCGGAGCAGUGCCUCCGAGUUUCAGCCGGCGUUCCACCCAGCUGACAGCGUGCGCGGAACCCGCCACCAUGGGCUGGUGGAGAGGCCGUCCCGGACCCGCUUCCACCCCCUCCACCGACGGUCUGGGGACAAGCCAGGACGACAAUUUGAUGGUAGUACAUUUGGAGCUAAUUACGCCUCGCAGCCCCUGGAUGAGAGUUGGCCAAGGCAGCAGCCUCCUUGGAAGGAAGAGAAGCACCCUGGGUUCAGGCUAACAUCUGCACUUAACAGGACCAAUUCUGACUCUGCUCUUCACACGAGUGCUCUGAGCACCAAGCCCCAGGACCCCUAUGGAGGAGGGGGCCAGUCGGCCUGGCCUGCCUCAUACAUGGGUUUCUGUGAUGGUGAGAACGACGUACAUGGGGAAGUUGUGUCUUUCCCCAGCCCACUGAAGGAAGAGAAUCUGCUAAACAUUCCCAAGCCACUGCCAAAACAGCUGUGGGAGACCAAGGAGAUCCAGUCCCUGUCAGGGCGCCCUCGAUCCUGUGAUGUCAGAGGUGGCAGCGCUUUUCCACACAGUGGUCAAAACAUGGGCCUCUCACCCUUUCUGGGAACCCUGAACACUGGGGGGUCGUUGCCAGAUCUAACCAACCUCCACUACUCAGUGCCCCUGCCUGCCUCCCUGGACACCAGUGACCACCUCUUUGGUAGUAUGAGUGUGGGGAACAGUGUGGGCAACCUUCCCGCUGCCAUGACUCACCUGGGCAUAAGAAGCUCUUCUGGUCUGCAGAGUUCUCGAAGCAACCCCUCCAUCCAGGCCACGCUCAAUAAGACAGCGCUUUCCUCUUCCCUAAACAGCCGCCCACAGGCAUCUGCUCCCAACGCCUCUGCGCUUCACUCUUCGCUCCACUCUUCGCUCCGUCUCUUCUCCCUUAGCAACCCGUCUCUUUCCACCACAAACCUGAGUGGCCCCUCUCGGCGUAGGCAGCCUCCCGUCAGCCCUCUCACGCUUUCUCCUGGCCCCGAAGCGCAUCAAAGUUUCAGCCGACAGCUCUCUUCAACCAGCCCACUGAAGCCGUAUCCUGCCUCGCAGAUGGUGUCCUCAGAUCGAAGCCCGCUCUCCUUCCUGCCCACAGAAGCUCAAGCCCAAGUGUCACCCCCGCCUCCUUACCCCAUGCCCCAGGACCUCCCCCAGCCUCUGCUGCAGCAGCCCCACACCCAGGAGCCCGCUGCUCAGCAGCCCCAGGCAGCCCCAUCGCUGCCCCAGUCAGACUUCCAGCUCCUCGCGGCCCAGGGCUCAUCUUUGACCAACUUCUUCCCAGAUGUGAGCUUUGACCAGCCGUCCAUGAGGCCAGGCCCAGCCUUUCCUCAGCAGGUGCCCCUGGUGCAACAGUGUCCCCGAGAACCACAGGACUCCUUUCAUUUGAGACCAAACCUGUAUUCCAACUGCGGGAAUUUCCCAAACACCAUCCUGACAGAGGACUCGAGCACCAGCCUGUUCAAAGACCUCGGCAGUGCUCUGGCAGGCAUGCCCGAGGUCAACCUAAACGUGGACACUCCGUUUCCAUUGGAAGAAGAGCUCCAGAUCGAACCCCUGAGCCUGGACGGACUCAGCAUGCUAAGUGAUUCCAGCCUGGGCCUGCUCGACCCCUCUAUUGAAGAGGCACUUCGAGCUGACCGACUGUGAACAGAAAGGAACGGGGCGGGAGGGCUUGUUUCUGAGACAGAACGGAAUAGGACGGAGCCAGCUGCAGCCCUGGGCGUUAGUUAUCACGGGCUCUGACACGGAAAGAACCAAUUCCUUGGCUCCCAGCUCGCAGACAAGGUCCCAUCUCAGACGCCGUGGCUCAUUCUAGACCACAGAGCUGGGCGCCGCCCCUCAGGCCUGCGGCACAGGUCCUGUUGCUGCAGGCAGGCUGCUCUGGGGCUUCCGAUGAAUUGGUCGUCACCACAACCGUUACAUCUUUUACUGGCCAUCUAAUGGGUCAAUGUGUAAAAAUAUAGCGAGAGGCCUCAGUAGCCUUGUGUAGUGCUCAGAACCACUGAUCUCAAUCAACACUGAAGAAAGGACCCGGAGUGGGGGGCGGUUAGGGGCCACAGGCCUUCGGAAGUUCGCUCAGCAUCCAGCAACGGUACCACAGCCCCACGAUGCCUUCUCUGAUCCAGCCAUCGUGCCUCAGCGGCGGCAGGAUGUUCCAGGGCAGAGCGGAGGGCCAGGGCUCUCUCAGAGGCCUCAAUUCUAACAUGAAGAAGGCUUUUUACCACAAGUCCAAGAACAGACUUGAGUUAAGCAAACUGAAUUCUAAUUUGUCCCCCCCCCCUCAGUUUGUAAUCUCUUUUCUGCUGCUUCAGAACCCCUUUUCCUAUGGACAAGAGGAAAAGGAAGACUAUUUUAUUCAGUCACUGAAAAAAAAAAAAAAAAUCCCCUGGUGAUAGAUGAGCCUGAAGAGAACGGUGCUUCUUCUUAGAGGCUGGGGAAGAGAGAAAGGGGGCUGCAGUUAUCUCAGAGACACACGAAGUCCUCCAGACAAGUUCUGGACCGUACAGGCCUCCCUCUCUACAGACCAGCUGGAGGGGGUGUCUGGAGGUCUGGAUUGGGCCCACCCAGCAGCUGCGCAGCAGCAAAGGGAAGCUGUUUCUCUGUGGAAUGGGAGUGGUUCAUAUAACCCCACUAGACCGUAAGCUCCUUGAGGGCAGGGACUGUGCCUUAGUCAUCAUCGAACCCCUAGCACCUAACAAGUGCCUGGCGCUGGGCAGGUGCUGCAGAACCGUGCGUUGAAUGCACACGUGAGUGAGUGAAUGAAUGCAUGAAUGAAUGAAUCUGCUUUGCUGUGAGGCAGUCUAAUCUUUCACUGUUUCUGUUCCUUACCAAAUCUUCUCAGAGCUUCAGCUUUUCUAACACUUGUGCCUGUGGUUAAGUUAAGCACGCACUUUAAUAUGCUUUUAACACUAGGUGACCAAAUCCACGGUUAGACUGCACGCCCUGUUCUCCUCCAGGGUAUGCAGGUAGGUGGAAACUGUCUUCUGAGUGCAUCCACAGUGGUUCAGCAAACUGAGGCCUCCCACCUGCCGGGACCUCGGGGGUCCUGGCCACCUCAAAAGAUCUUCCCUCUCAGACCCAGGUUUUGCUCUUGAUUGUGUUAGGAAGAGAUUCAUUCUCUGAGGUUGAAGAAAUAGUCUAUAGUAAAAUGAAGGCCUAAUUUAUGAAACCAUCAUUAGUCAUCAGUUUCUUAGCACAAAACAGUAUUACUGUAUUUCCACCACCACCUGCCCCCUCUGACUUAGUCCAGGCCAGCCCUUGACCAGAAACAUGAUGGGUGGGAUUGGAAGCCAUCUGGGGAGGAGGGUGGGCAACGGGGCCAAAUGCGGGCAUGGGUAGACAGCACAGAGAGGACAGACACACUGAAGGAGGGAUGAAGAUGCCGGAGCCUUUGCCCAGACGGUGUCCUUCCAGGAGACACCAGGGGUGUUGCUGAAGGGUCCAGACUGCUCCCACCCAAAGAAGCAAGGCUGCACCUUGUGGGUCUGAAUCUGACACGUGUGCCUGGUGGCCGGAGGGGUCUGUCACAGCGUCCUGGGCUGUUAACCUCUCUAGACCUUGUCCCAUUUCCUUCUGUCUUCAGGGGGAUCCCUUCCCUCCAGUCUUUCCAGUAACCUCGAUCGUGCACUGCUCCAUCUUCACUGUGGAGCCCAAGUCUUCCCACCUCACGUUCAUCCUGAACCCCUGCUACUGAAUUAGGAAGUCAAACCAGAGUCCUCCCUGCCUGAGCUCUGGCUCAGGGAGAGGCAGUUGGCCUCCCCUUCGAAGCCAUAUUUCCAGUUAAACUUCCCAAUCUCAGAGGGCAGUGACUUUUUGUUAAAGUAAAAGGGCCUUUCAUCGUACCCAGCAUCCCAGUGUGCCGUAAGAAGCCAGAUCCUGGCUGCCUUCCUCUGUCAGAGCCCCCCAGAUCCGAUCUGGCCUUUCAGACAGGGAGGAGUGCUGAUGUUCUCAGAGGUUUUUUUUGAACAAUGGAGGUUCCAGGAUAAUCUGCUCUUUACACAGUGCCUUACCCACGGGGAUCACUAGUGUCAGGGUCCCAACUCUCUUUGCACAGCAGCCCAGUCUUACAGCUGGAGACCCUGAGACCUACAGGACGAAGUGUGCUCCCCCUGGGCAUUCGCCAGGGACUCGUGGAAAUGGAGGCUCCUGGGAAAAGUGACUUGUUUGGGGUAGUAUAAUGAUGACAGUGAGGUUUAGCACUGAAUUCAAUUUGUCCUGAGGUCCAUCCAUCCCAUCUUUUCCUGUGAAAAGGUUUUGGGCAUUAUAUAACCCACGUUGCUUACAUGGUGUCAAGGACACCCAUGGACAGGAGUCGCCCUGACCUUCUCACUGCUGCCUUCGCAACAAACCAGGCGUGGUCCUCGGCAUCUGAAGUGGCUGCAGACUUCAGAGUAAACUAUUUUUCAGUAUUUAGUUUUUCACAAGAAAUCGAUGGUUGUACUACUCUCAUUUACUAGCAGUUAAACAGCAUAGCACUAAAAACCUAUCUGUAUUUUCUAUUUUUCCCUUCUGUAUGUUUGUGGUUUUCAGGACAUACAGUGUCAGGAGAAACUUUGAUGAUGUCAAGAUCAACAUGAAUUCUCCAUUGUCCUGUUUCAUUUCUCCUAAGUCUACUGUAUAUUACCCGAGCUGAAAUCUAUAUUCCAGUCCAUUUGCAUAUUUGAAGACAUUUCCAACUCCGCCUCUCAUCGCUCUUCUGAUUCAUGCACAGACGGUUCCGAGCGUGUGUCUUCCACUGCUUCGUGAUGGAACCAUCACAGCAACUAAUCAGACUUCCCGCCAGUAUCCUAGUUCCCAGGUUCCUUGUUAAACAAUAUUUAAAGAUUGGAAUUUGUACAAAGUAGCUUCCAAGUUUUAUAAUGCGUCAUUUUACAUCUUUCGUAAUUAAAAGCAGCACAAUAAGGUUGUUUGUGCAUUUGGUGUUUUUCUUCAGCCUCGGGUGAGGUGAACUGGCGGAGAGCCCUCCUCGCUCAGCUCAGCCUGCAGUUAGAGAUUUCUGGUCCGUGGCCCGCUUCUCACGUGUUCUUAAUACUUGCUGUUGCGCCCAGUCCUGAGAGAAGUUCAGAAGGAAGUGGAGGCACGCUGUUCCUUUGAAGCCGCGUGGACCCAGGACAGAGACAUCAUUGGCAUAUCCAUCUCCGAUGUGUACCCUCCUCCCCUGCCAUCUCCUCUCUCAGACCCACUGUCCCCAGGCCGUCACCUCCAAGCUGAUGACUUCCCACAUCCAGCCUCCUACCCCACGUGCCUGUCAGCGCAGGCCCACCCGCACUCCACCCCGUGCGGCCCGCUGCACCAUCCUUCACGGGUCUGUGGACACCGGCAAGCGUUCAUCAUCACCUGGGACACCGGCCUUCCCCACGGGGCUCUCGACUCUGCAAGGACAGGGGCCGUGUCUUCUACCUGAAUUCUACAGCCACGGUGCCUGGCAUGUAGUAGGUGCUCAAUACAUACAGAACCUUGAGAAGUACAGUAGUACAGUACAACAGCUGGCAUCCAGGGGCUGGCAUCGAGUGAACAGGCAAGAAGAGUUACUGACUGGAGGAGGGAGAGGAGCUGGGAGACGGUAGAGCUGAAGGAUCGUCAGCAAUAGGAGUCGAAGGGCGAGCUGCAAUUUCACUCACACCAGACGCUGAUGGCACAGGUUCCUUGCUGCAACCAGAUAUAUGUUUGCCUCUUUGAAAGUUCGCAAUUUGCAGUGACCGCUCCACUGUGAACACUCAGACCCUGCACAUCACACAUCCCUCACAGCAGCCUGGACGUGAGGCAGGCCAAGGAUGGCUUCUCGGGUUUCCGGAUGAGGAAGCAGGCCCAGAGCAGCACAGAGUCACUCGGCGACACAUGGAGCACAGACCCUGCACGCGGCCGGGUCCCCAAGGUUCAAACGUGCUGGUGGAGCUGGGGAAGCGGCGCCGCCGGGCCUCCGGUGCCCGGGCCACGCACCCACGCCUCCCAGAGGCUGGACUGACCCCCUCACCCACCCGGGAACCAGACGGUCCGGCAGCGCACGCAGGAAGCACGAGCCAGAAGGGAGCACCCGAUUUUCUCUUUUCCAGAAAUGUAUUUUCAGUUUUUAAAUAAAAGGCUUUGCUUCUACAAUAAUAGUGAACGCACAUUAUAAGAAAUUCAAGGGACUUCCCUGGUGGUCCAGUGGUUAAGACUCCCAAUGCAGGGGUCCUGGGUUCGAUCCCUGGUGGGGGAACUAGAUCCCACAUGCUGCAACUAAAAGAGCCCUGCAACUAAAAGAGACCACAUGCAGCAAUUAAAAGAUCCCGCUUGCUGCAACUAAGACCCAGCAGCAGCCAAAUAAAUAAAUAAAUAAAAAGAAAGAACUUCCAGUAACACUGAAGAGCACAAAAAAGAAAAUUUUCAAGUGCUCUGGAAGGCCAGCACCCCCAGAAGCAUCGAGGGAGACAUCUGUCUAUGCACCUAUUCAGAGAAAAGGACAGGUAGAUUGAUGGAAAUUUUUACCAAAAAGUGUUCACACAGUACGUGCUCUUUUUGGAAAAAGUGUUUAACAGAAAGGAGAAAAAAAAGAAUAAGGAGAAAAAAAAGAAGGAGAAGAAGCCUAAAUGUAACUAAAGAAAUUGCCAAGCUGCAAAUAAUUAAAAGGAAAGAAAAAUACCCAGGGACUGAAUUCAUUCUUGAAAUAUGCUUCAACUGUAGAUGGCAUCUCUUGACAGCCUGCGGAUUUAGGAUGAGGAAAUGAGCUCACCCACUUCCUAUCUCUUCCCCCCUCCCAAAUGUUGUGAGUUCUUAUUUUUACAUUGUCAAGGUUUGUAACUACCUGCAUCCUGUCCUGUAACCAUCCUUCCCACCAUUGUUUGGCCCCUGUUCUGUGCGUGCGCGGGUCCCCUGCUCGCUGCCAGUCCUUUUAGAGUGGGUUUCCCAGCCCUCCAUUCUUGAGUUCUUGACUUUGAUUCACCUCAUGUUUGACUUGACUUGUCCCCAAGAAGUCUGUUCAGGGAGGGCUUUGGUGGUCACAGCCAAGAGGGGUGGCUGCUAGGAGCAAGGUUGGAGGCCUCAAUUCUGAAAAGGGGGUGGGCGGGCUAUAAAAUCGGCUGAUUUAUGCCAGUGAAACUGGCAUAAAUCCCCAAUGUAGGAAUGAGCACUAAUACUUUCCAGUGUGACUCCUUGCUGAAAAGAGUCUUCAACUUGUAUUUGGUGGCACAUAGUUGAAGCCUUAGAAUUUGGAAAUAAAGAAAAUGACUAGGGUGGGGAACCCAGAGAGUAUUGUUUUCUUUUUUUUGGCCGCACCAUGCAGCAUGUAGGAUCUUAGUUCCCCAACCAGGGAUCCAACCCAUGCCCCCUGCAUUGGGAGCACAGAGUCUUAACCACUGGACCACCGGGG